GUCGAACCGUGCGAACGUUGUUCGGAUUCACUGGGCUUAAAGGGCGCGUAGGCGGUCGACCAAGUCUGGGGUGAAAUCUUUCGGCUUAACCGGAAAAGUGCCCCCGAUACUGGCCGGCUAGAGGGAGAUAGGGGCAUGUGGAACUUCCGGUGGAGCGGUGAAAUGCGUAGAUAUCGGAAGGAACGCCGGUGGCGAAAGCGACGUGCUGGAUCUCUUCUGACGCUGAGGCGCGAAAGCCAGGGGAGCAAACGGG
rnacentral:rRNA from 1 species